UCCAUCAUACUGAAAAUCCAUUGUUUUAGCACCUACCAUUGCUUUAGGAAGUUAGGCAUGACAGUGGUUUCAUUUUAUUCUCUGAUGUGGUAUAACAGCCUGCAAUAUUUCAUGUCCAAACAUAGAUGAUUUCACAUCAUAGUUAAACUUCUGAAGAUUGACACAAUGGCAGAUCUUAUAUCAGAUGUAUGGAAACUUGUUCUAUGUUUGAUAACGUGGCUGAAAACAUCAAGGGAGCAAGCAAACUGCCUUGUUUCACUCCACUGGUGACUGGGAAAGCUCGAGAGCAUUGUCCAUUGUCCAGAACCCAGGCAAGUGUGUCAUCAUGAAAUUGACUUAUUAUAUUGAUGAAAUUCUCUGGGCAACU